GCGAAAGUGGCGGAAUUGGUAGACGCGCUGGAUUUAGGUUCCAGUACCGCAAGGUGUGAGAGUUCGAGUCUCUCCUUUCGCACCA
rnacentral:tRNA from 4 species